UUAUAUUUUAUAUUUUAUAUUUUAUAUUUCAAGUUUCAAAUUUUAAAUUUCAAAAUUUUCAAAUUUAAACUUUAUUUUUAAAAUUAAAAUAUCAAAUUUUAAAUUUUUUAUAAAUUUUAUAUUUUAUUCAAAUAUUAAAUUAUUUUAAAAUAAAAUUUUCUAAAAAUAUUAUUAUAUCUAAACAUCAAAAUAUUUUUACCAAACAGCUUAACAAAAUCUUUCAGAAAAAUAGUUUUUUGUCGAAACUCAGCGAAACGCUAUACAGCUUUUAACCAAAAUCACUUCUCCAAAUCAAAAUUAAUUUUGCAAAAAUCACUUUUCCAAAAUUUAGGCCAAAUGGGCGUUUUAUUUACUUAGUCAGAAAAUGCUGAAAUAGCUAUAUAUACUAGUUAUGGAACCCUUAUGUAACAGUUCUUUUACCUUUUUACAGAUAAUUAAUAAAUAACUUUUUUUUUUUUUUUGAGAGAGAUAGGUAGCACGCUACCCGCUUCGUUUAUUUCAUUUAGAAAUAAACUUAGCUGAAUACGUGAAUCAAUUAGGAUUCGAACUUGGGUCUCGGUUACCAACCACCAAGCCUUUUGCCACUUGCUCUAGGGACGGUCGGUAAUAACAAAAUAUGUUUAUUUAUAAAAUAAAUAACAAUAUAUUCCACUUUAUUAAAUAAACAAAUUUUAGAGGCAUUUUCCAUCGCAAAGUAAUGGGCCUGCAUUUUCCAUCACAAAUUUUAUUUUUUUUUUAAAAAUUUUAGAUAUUCAAAAUUUUAAAUUUGAAAUUUUUAAAAUUUUAAUUUUAUAUUUUAUAUUUCAAAUUUUAAAUUUGAAGUGUCAAAUUUUAAAUUUCAAAUUUCAAAUUUUAAAUUUCAAAUUUUCAAAUUUGAACUUUAUUUUUUAAAUUAAAAUAUCAAAUUUUAAAUUUUAUUCAAAUAUUAAAUUAUUUUAAAAUAAAAUUUUGUAAAAAUAUUAUUAUAUCUAAACAUCAAAAUUUUUUUACCAAACUGCUUAACAAAGUCGUUCAGAAAAAUAGCUUUUUGUCUAAACUCAGCGAAACGCUAUACAGCUUUUAACCAAAUCACUUUUCCAAAUCAAAAUUAAUUUUUCAAAAAUCACUUUUCCAAAAUUUAGACCAAACGGGUUACUUAAUCAGAAAAUGCUGAAAUAGCACCAUCCUAGUGUCCCUAUAUAUAUAUAUAUAUAUAUAUAGAGAGAGAGAGAGAGGAGAGAGAGAGAGAGUUGAACUGGGCUACUAUUAGUAGCAAAAUUUCAUUGUUACUACCAGUUUUUUAACCUUUGAAUCAACUCUUUUCAUUAUUUCUAACCAUUGGAUUAAAUACUAUAACCCAGUGGGGACCACUCAACUCUAACCGACUAAUAUCAUCCUGACCCUAUAAUUUUUCAUCCAAGGUUAAAAACUUGAUAGUAAAAAGAGCGUUUUACUAUUAAUAGUAUUCCAGCCUAAUUAUAUA
rnacentral:lncRNA from 1 species